rnacentral:rRNA from 1 species
AACGAACGCUAUCGGUAUGCUUAACACAUGCAAGUCGGACGGACUAAUUAGGGCUUGCUCCAAUUAGUUAGUGGCAGACGGGUGAGUAACACGUGGGAAUCUGCCCAUCAGUACGGAAUAACUUUUAGAAAUAAAAGCUAAUACCGUAUAUUCUCUACAGAGGAAAGAUUUAUCGCUGAUGGAUGAGCCCGCGUCAGAUUAGGUAGUUGGUGAGGUAACGGCUCACCAAGCCGACGAGCUGUAGCUGGUCUGAGAGGAUGAUCAGCCACACUGGGACUGAGACACGGCCCAGACUCCUACGGGAGGCAGCAGUGGGGAAUAUUGGACAAUGGGCGAAAGACUGAUCCAGCAAUACCGAGUGAGUGAUAAAGGCCCUAGGGUUGUAAAGCUCUUUUAGCAAGGAAGAUAAUGACGUUACUUGCAGAAAAAGCCCCGGCUAACUCCGUG